rnacentral:piRNA from 1 species
UGCACACUGGGGAUCAG